rnacentral:misc_RNA from 1 species
GAUUUUUGUACACCCCCGCCCGUCACGUCACGAAAGUUGGUAACACCCGAAGCCCGUGGCCUAACCUUUGUGGGGGGAGCGGUCGAAGGUGGGAUUGGCGAUUGGGACGAAGUCGUAACAAGGUAGCCGUACCGGAAGGUGCGGCUGGAUCACCUCCCUUUCUAAGGAGCUCCUGUUUUGCUUGUGAUCGUGGUGGUUAUGAGUGUUGUGGGGGUUUUUAGUGGUUGGCAACAUUGGAGUUGGCAUGCUGUUGGGGUGUGGGGUAACGCCUUGGCUGCCUGCGCGUGGGCCUGCUUGUGUGGUGGGUUUGUGUGUGGUGUUGGUGUGGUGGUUGAGAAUUGUAUAGUGGAUGCGAGCAUCUUUUGGUUUUUGUAAGUGUGUAAGGGCGUUCGGUGGAUGCCUUGGUACACGGAGCCGAUGAAGGACGUUGUAGCCUGCGAUAAGCCUCGGGGAGUUGGCAUACGAGCUGUGAUCCGAGGGUGUCCGAAUGGGGGAACCUGCCUGGAGUUGUUUCUGGGUACCGUCAUCUGAAUGUAUAGGUGAUG